GUCUAUUAGCUCAGUCGGUAGAGCACCUGACUUUUAAUCAGGGUGUCGGUGGUUCGAUUCCGCCUCUGGGCACCA
rnacentral:tRNA from 1 species